UAGUGAGUUUGAUCCUGGCUCAGAUUGAACGCUGGCGGCAUGCUUUAACACAUGCAAGUCGAACGGCAGCGCGGGGCAACCUGGCGGCGAGUGGCGAACGGGUGAGUAAUAUAUCGGAACGUACCCAAGAGUGGGGAUAACGUAGCGAAAGUUACGCUAAUACCGCAUACGAUCUAAGGAUGAAAGUGGGGGAUCGCAAGACCUCAUGCUCCUGGAGCGGCCGAUAUCUGAUUAGCUAGUUGGUGAGGUAAAGGCUCACCAAGGCGACGAUCAGUAGCUGGUCUAGAGACGGACGACCAGCCACACUGGAACUGAGACACGGUCCAGACU
rnacentral:rRNA from 1 species